rnacentral:rRNA from 1 species
GACGAACGCUGGCGGCGUGCCUAAUACAUGCAAGUCGAGCGAAGUUUUUCUGGUGCUUGCACCGGAAAAACUUAGCGGCGAACGGGUGAGUAACACGUAAAGAACCUGCCUCAUAGGCUGGGACAGCUAUUGGAAACGAUAGCUAAUACCGGAUAACAGCAUUAACCGCAUGGUUGAUGUUUAAAAGUUGGUUUUGCUAACACUAUGAGAUGGCUUUGCGGUGCAUUAGCUAGUUGGUGGGGUAAAGGCCUACCAAGGCGACGAUGCAUAGCCGACCUGAGAGGGUGAUCGGCCACACUGGGACUGAGACACGGCCCAGACUCCUACGGGAGGCAGCAGUAGGGAAUCUUCCGCAAUGGGCGAAAGCCUGACGGAGCAACGCCGCGUGAGUGAAGAAGGAUUUCGGUUCGUAAAGCUCUGUUGUUAGGGAAGAAUGAUUGUGUAGUAACUAUACACAGUAG